UUCCCAUGAUGAGGACAGGCAUGAAUGUACGCAUUGAGAUGUUCCCAUGCUUUAGGAAUCAUCACGUCAGACUGUUGCUGGAAGCUCAAAAUCUUCCCACAUAAGGCA
rfam:Sorghum bicolor cultivar BTx623 chromosome 3, whole genome shotgun sequence.